rnacentral:rRNA from 1 species
GACGAACGCUGGCGGCGUGCUUAACACAUGCAAGUCGAACGGAAAGGCCCUGCUUUUGUGGGGUGCUCGAUUGGCGAACGGGUGAGUAACACGUGAGUAACCUGCCCUUGACUUUGGGAUAACUUCAGGAAACUGGGGCUAAUACCGGAUAGGAGCUCCUGCUGCAUGGUGGGGGUUGGAAAGUUUCGGCGGUUGGGGAUGGACUCGCGGCUUAUCAGCUUGUUGGUGGGGUAGUGGCUUACCAAGGCUUUGACGGGUAGCCGGCCUGAGAGGGUUACCGGCCACAUUGGGACUGAGAGACGGCCCAGAAUCCUACGGGAGGCAGCAGUGGGGAAUAUUGCACAAUGGGCGGAAGCCUGAUGCAGCAACGCCGCGUGCGGGAUGACGGCCUUCGGGUUGUAAACCGCUGUCGCCUGUGACGAAGCGUGAGUGACGGUAAUGGGUAAAGAAGCACCGGCUAACUACGUG